AAAUUGAAGAGUUUGAUCAUGGCUCAGAUUGAACGCUGGCGGCAGGCCUAACACAUGCAAGUCGAACGGUAGCACAGAGAGCUUGCUCUCGGGUGACGAGUGGCGGACGGGUGAGUAAUGUCUGGGAAACUGCCUGAUGGAGGGGGAUAACUACUGGAAACGGUAGCUAAUACCGCAUAACGUCGCAAGACCAAAGAGGGGGACCUUCGGGCCUCUUGCCAUCAGAUGUGCCCAGAUGGGAUUAGCUUGUUGGUGAGGUAACGGCUCACCAAGGCGACGAUCCCUAGCUGGUCUGAGAGGAUGACCAGCCACACUGGAACUGAGACACGGUCCAGACUCCUACGGGAGGCAGCAGUGGGGAAUAUUGCACAAUGGGCGCAAGCCUGAUGCAGCCAUGCCGCGUGUAUGAAGAAGGCCUUCGGGUUGUAAAGUACUUUCAGCGGGGAGGAAGGUGUUGUGGUUAAUAACCGCAGCAAUUGACGUUACCCGCAGAAGAAGCACCGGCUAACUCCGUGCCAGCAGCCGCGGUAAUACGGAGGGUGCAAGCGUUAAUCGGAAUUACUGGGCGUAAAGCGCACGCAGGCGGUCUGUCAAGUCGGAUGUGAAAUCCCCGGGCUCAACCUGGGAACUGCAUUCGAAACUGGCAGGCUUGAGUCUUGUAGAGGGGGGUAGAAUUCCAGGUGUAGCGGUGAAAUGCGUAGAGAUCUGGAGGAAUACCGGUGGCGAAGGCGGCCCCCUGGACAAAGACUGACGCUCAGGUGCGAAAGCGUGGGGAGCAAACAGGAUUAGAUACCCUGGUAGUCCACGCCGUAAACGAUGUCUACUUGGAGGUUGUGCCCUUGAGGCGUGGCUUCCGGAGCUAACGCGUUAAGUAGACCGCCUGGGGAGUACGGCCGCAAGGUUAAAACUCAAAUGAAUUGACGGGGGCCCGCACAAGCGGUGGAGCAUGUGGUUUAAUUCGAUGCAACGCGAAGAACCUUACCUGGUCUUGACAUCCACGGAAGUUUUCAGAGAUGAGAAUGUGCCUUCGGGAACCGUGAGACAGGUGCUGCAUGGCUGUCGUCAGCUCGUGUUGUGAAAUGUUGGGUUAAGUCCCGCAACGAGCGCAACCCUUAUCCUUUGUUGCCAGCGGUCCGGCCGGGAACUCAAAGGAGACUGCCAGUGAUAAACUGGAGGAAGGUGGGGAUGACGUCAAGUCAUCAUGGCCCUUACGACCAGGGCUACACACGUGCUACAAUGGCGCAUACAAAGAGAAGCGACCUCGCGAGAGCAAGCGGACCUCAUAAAGUGCGUCGUAGUCCGGAUUGGAGUCUGCAACUCGACUCCAUGAAGUCGGAAUCGCUAGUAAUCGUGGAUCAGAAUGCCACGGUGAAUACGUUCCCGGGCCUUGUACACACCGCCCGUCACACCAUGGGAGUGGGUUGCAAAAGAAGUAGGUAGCUUAACCUUCGGGAGGGCGCUUACCACUUUGUGAUUCAUGACUGGGGUGAAGUCGUAACAAGGUAACCGUAGGGGAACCUGC
rnacentral:rRNA from 1 species